UAGCCCAUGUUCUCCCAAAGCAAAGAUCAAAGAGGAGGAGAGAUAGCAAUAUGAGGAGCAAUGAGAACUAAGUUUUAUUAUCACUUAUGCAUUUUCACCAUCACUAUCAUUUACUCCAUCACACAUGCACAUCUUGAUUUAAUUAUAUGCUGAGUUCCUUUGGAUCCAUGGCUCGAUUAGACAACAUAUGUAUGAGCUGUUUUCCACUCCUAUGAGCUCCACUUAAAUAUUCCAUUAGCUAUAGGUAAGUAACAUUAUGGUAAGGAUCCACAAAUACCACAUAUAGAGAGACUUGAGAGAAUCAUUGCUGGGAACUCUGAGUUUUAUUUUGAAAACUUAUGAAAAACUCUAGAACAAAGG
rnacentral:lncRNA from 1 species